AUUUCUGGAGGUUGUUCCUUUUGGUGUUUUUCUUGAUAAGCCUGGGACACAGUUGAUGAGAAGCAGUCAGGAAGUCUAGCAGAUAUGAAUAGGAAACCACUGGAAUAUAAGGCCAUUCUGUCAACUCAGAACAGACAGAUACCUACAGCUUCAUCACUGCCAGUAGCACACUGCUGGGUUGGCAUUUACUGAUCAAAAGAAACUUUGCCUGAAGAAUUUCCUCUGUCCAAAGAUAAAAGGAAUACAAUACUUUCAUGAUUCACAGAAAGGAAGAAAAAGGAACUGUGCUACUAAAGGAAUAUUUCCCAGCACAAGCUGAAAACAUCAGGCCUGUGGCAACAUCUUGGGGACUGGGAGUUUGAAACUGUAUUUCAGAAAAAUUGCUUAAACCAUCCUGUAGAGGUGGUGCACUAGCAAGCUGUUCUAAGACAUUCUUCCAGCCCAGCAAAUGGACAUCAGCACCUUGCUGUUACAGCUGGCUCUUUGCCAGAGGAUCUGCAGUGCCAUGAAAACCCAUCUCUCAGAGAAUAUAACCCUGGCAGCUGCCCAGGGAGCAUCAUCUUCUUUCAUGACAGAGACUGAAAUGAUGCUCAGAGCAGCACAAGGACUGGGUGACUAGAUGAGUUGUGCCCACACUCACUCUAGGUGCUCCAAUAGAUGCAAUGGUACAAUGCCUUUUUGAUAAAUGUUUGUAAGAUGUCGUUCCUGAUAAAAUCUGUUGCACCUAUGGGUGAAGGAAGUUGGCUUCCCCCUGGUGUAAUGUCCAUAGGCUCAGAAGACUGGAGUAUCAUUACCCCUGCUGCCCCAAAAAAAUCAUUCUAGUGCCAAACAUGACAAGAAGUGAUGCUUAUGGUACGUAACUGAACAAGAGAGGAAACCUCAGUAUGGAUUUACUACAACUCAUAUUUGAAAUCUACUUUUGAAAAGCCUUGUUACAUAUACUUCUCAAAUCAGGAAAUUUUUGCUGUUCAAGAGUGAAUUCUUAAUUCAGAUUUUCUUUGGAAAAGCACACACAAGCUAAUGAAUUUUUUGUUUCUGGGUAUUAUUCGUGUCCAGUCAGACACAAGGACAUUUUGCACUCUGAUUCUGUUGCAUGGAUUUAAGGUUACCUGCUGCAAGCUUUCUCACAAUUAAGAUAAAACACACCUGGUCUACAUUAGUUGGCACAUUGCUAUCCAUUCGCCCACCAAUCCAGGAUUCUUCUACGUGAAGCAUCUUCAGCUUGGACAAAAAUAUUCAUAAGAAGAAAACAAAACUGAAGCCAUUUUUAGGGGCUUACCUCUCAGAUUUUACAUACAGCUAAAUGUCACACAGGUCACAUUUAGGAGUGUGCCUGAGAAAAAUCAUGUACCUCAGAAAACUUACUGUGGUCUCCAUGUCUCACAGAUAAUCUUUAUUCAGCAGAUCUGUUUCUUCAGACAAGAAUAAAAAUAGUAAUCAUACAGAAAUCCAAACCUAAACAGUGCUGCUCAUGGACAAGAUGUAGGAUAAACAGUGAUUUGUGAAUCCCUACAUAAAUUUUACAUAUACACUCAAGUCUAAAACAUUGAAGUCAUUGUCUUUAAUCCUUCCAGUAACAUAGGUGAACCUGUUUCUGAAGAAGUACACAGCCUUCACAAAGAUGUUUCUAAAGUCUCUACAGAGUCCACCAGAGCUGAGUCAACACAGAUAAGUGAAGAGGGCAUAAGAACACAGUCAUGGUGAUAGUAAUUCAGAUAAAGGAUCCACACAAGCUAGUAUUCAUUUUCUAACAAUAGUCAUAACUGAACACACACAC
ensembl:lncRNA